CCUUCGGGCGGCUGCAGUGGGGAAUAUUGGGCAAUGGAGGAAACUCUGACCCAGCAACGCCGCGUGAAGGAUGAAGGUUUUCGGAUUGUAAACUUCUGUCGCGAGGGAUGAAGAAUGACGGUACCUCGUAAGAAAGCCCCGGCAAACUACGUGCCAGCAGCCGCGGUAAUACGUAGGGGGCGAGCGUUAUCCGGAUUUAUUGGGUGUAAAGGGUGCGCAGGCGGCGAGUUAAGUCAGCGGUAAAAUUUCGGGGCUCAACCCCGACGAGCCGGUGAAACUGGCUUGCUAGAGUGGGCGAGAAGUAUGCGGAAUGCGUGGUGUAGCGGUGAAAUGCAUAGAUAUCACGCAGAACUCCGAUUGCGAAGGCAGCAUACCGGCGCCCAACUGACGCUCAGGCACGAAAGCGUGGGUAUCGAACAGGAUUAGAUACCCUUGUAGUC
rnacentral:rRNA from 1 species